AUGCAGUCGAACGAUGAAGCCAGCUUGCUGGUGGAUUAGUGGCGAACGGGUGAGUAACACGUGAGUAACCUGCCCUUGACUCUGGGAUAAGCCUGGGAAACUGGGUCUAAUACCGGAUAUGACUCCUCAUCGCAUGGUGGGGGGUGGAAAGCUUUUUGUGGUUUUGGAUGGACUCSCGGCCUAUCAGCUUGUUGGUGAGGUAAUGGCUCACCAAGGCGACGACGGGUAGCCGGCCUGAGAGGGUGACCGGCCACACUGGGACUGAGACACGGCCCAGACUCCUACGGGAGGCAGCAGUGGGGAAUAUUGCACAAUGGGCGAAAGCCUGAUGCAGCGACGCCGCGUGAGGGAUGACGGCCUUCGGGUUGUAAACCUCUUUCAGUAGGGAAGAAGCGAAAGUGACGGUACCUGCAGAAGAAGCGCCGGCUAACUACGUGCCAGCAGCCGCGGUAAUACGUAGGGCGCAAGCGUUAUCCGGAAUUAUUGGGCGUAAAGAGCUCGUAGGCGGUUUGUCGCGUCUGCCGUGAAAGUCCGGGGCUCAACUCCGGAUCUGCGGUGGGUACGGGCAGACUAGAGUGAUGUAGGGGAGACUGGAAUUCCUGGUGUAGCGGUGAAAUGCGCAGAUAUCAGGAGGAACACCGAUGGCGAAGGCAGGUCUCUGGGCAUUAACUGACGCUGAGGAGCGAAAGCAUGGGGAGCGAACAGGAUUAGAUACCCUGGUAGUCCAUGCCGUAAACGUUGGGCACUAGGUGUGGGGGACAUUCCACGUUUUCCGCGCCGUAGCUAACGCAUUAAGUGCCCCGCCUGGGGAGUACGGCCGCAAGGCUAAAACUCAAAGGAAUUGACGGGGGCCCGCACAAGCGGCGGAGCAUGCGGAUUAAUUCGAUGCAACGCGAAGAACCUUACCAAGGCUUGACAUGAACCGGAAACGUCUGGAAACAGGCGCCCCACUUGUGGUCGGUUUACAGGUGGUGCAUGGUUGUCGUCAGCUCGUGUCGUGAGAUGUUGGGUUAAGUCCCGCAACGAGCGCAACCCUCGUUCCAUGUGCCAGCGCGUAAUGGGCGGGGACUCAUGGAGACUGCCGGAUCACUCGAAGGAGUGGGACGACGUCAAUCAUCAUGCCCCAUAUGUACUGGUCUCCGCAUGCUUACAUGGCCCGGGU
rnacentral:rRNA from 1 species